rnacentral:rRNA from 1 species
CCUACGGGAGGCAGCAGUGGGGAAUUUUGGACAAUGGGCGCAAGCCUGAUCCAGCAAUGCCGCGUGCAGGAUGAAGGCCUUCGGGUUGUAAACUGCUUUUGUACGGAACGAAACGGCUCUUUCUAAUAAAGAGAGCUAAUGACGGUACCGUAAGAAUAAGCACCGGCUAACUACGUGCCAGCAGCCGCGGUAAUACGUAGGGUGCGAGCGUUAAUCGGAAUUACUGGGCGUAAAGCGUGCGCAGGCGGUUAUAUAAGACAGAUGUGAAAUCCCCGGGCUCAACCUGGGACCUGCAUUUGUGACUGUAUAGCUAGAGUACGGUAGAGGGGGAGUGGAAUUCCGCGUGUAGCAGUGAAAUGCGUAGAUAUGCGGAGGAACACCGAUGGCGAAGGCAAUCCCCUCGGACCUGUACUGACGCUCAUGCACGAAAGCGUGGGGAGCAAACAGGAUUAGAUACCCUGGUAGUCCACGCCCUAAACGAUGUCAACUGGUUGUUGGGUCUUCACUGACUCAGUAACGAAGCUAACGCGUGAAGUUGGCCGCCUGGGGAGUACGGCCGCAAGGUUGAAACGUUACGAAAGUAGUAGACGNGNGAGAGCGACGAGACACAGGAGGAGGAGG